GAGGGGGAAAUCUCAGGCAGUAGUGCACACGGCAUAGGCACACUUAAUGUGGAAUGGACAUGAGCAACACAUCUCGAAGAGCAACAGUUAAAAAAAAUUAGUAACUGUUUUUUUCACCUUCAGGGGCCUAUGUCAUGAUCAAUUCCUGAUAUGAGAUUUUACUCUAUUCUACAUUUAGGUGCAGCACAGGAUAAAGGGAUUUUACUCCCAAGUACUUUCUGGUUCCCAGAAAGGGUGGAGGCCAACACUAGUCCUCAGACAUCUGAACAAAUAUGCGAAACAACAGAAGUUCAAGAUGGUGACCCUUGCAGCCAUAAUUCCCUCUCUAGACUCCAGAGAUUGCUUUGCAACUCUUGUCCUUCGUCUCAUAUUUUCAUGUGGCAGUUCACCCUUCUCAUAAAACGUUUCUUUGAUUCGUGUUCAAUCAUGAACCACUACCAGUAGCAGCAGGUACUCACCUUCAGCCUAUCCUUGGCCCCAAGGGUAUUUUCAAAGAUUAUGGCAGUCAUACCUGAGCAAGUCUCAAGACUUAGUAUUCAGUCUGUGAUCUGUUUCAUCACUGAUAUCCAAGGUGCCAGUUGUGGUUUACAGUGAUGUGAUGUGGACAUGUAUGCAUUAGGAAUUUAACUGAAACAGUGAAAUAAUUGGACUGCAUAUCUCUGAAUAGAAUUAGUGUAAUUCAGAACAAAAAAUGUAAAUUUCACUUAAGCACAUGAGACUAUAUUCUAUUGAACACAUUUAUAUCCCCCCCGCACCCUACCCCCAAAAAACCCUAAACAUUAAACUCUGGAAAUCACACACUAUGGUUACAUAAACAAUUCAACUUUAACACAGUUUGUGCACUUACUCCAUUAAACAUUUCUAAAUUUUGCGCUGAAUUCAAGCACCCUUAACUCUGCCUCUGUAACAAAAUACUCUAAUUACGAUGUCUGCACCCUUUGCCUACACUUGCAGCAAUGCGUAGGGUAUGUGUAGCUACACCCUCCCAUAAAAGACAGACUGUUACUAUGCUCGGUGCAGUGUGUAGCUGUACACAGCAGUGAAAGGCUCUGGCAAUGGGGAGGUAGCAGAGAAAGUCUCUGGGGAGCUGCUGGAGCCUCUUCCUGCUAGUCUUUCAUUGCAGCAGGGAAAGGUUCUAGCAGCAAGGAGGCAGCAGGCCACUAUACUGCUAAAUACUAAAAUAGUAGUAUAGAUGAUAUGGGAGGCACUGCUUGAGUGUAUAGAGAGACAUGUAAGGUGUAUAUACCCUAUGAUUCAGGUGUGUUAGGCACUCUACGCACCUAGGGAAGGUCUCACUCUACACUGCUAUUUAUACCUGAGUAUGCAGAAUAUGUACUCCAUGUGCUCCCAUAAGAGUAGACCUAUCGUAAAUGAACCAACUCGUAUCUUUUUUCUCAGAAUUGUGUAUUAUACAAAUUUUAAUACUUGAAUUAAUCAUCCAAAACUUGUAAAAAGUUUGACCUUCCACACAAGCCAUGUACAAGCUCCACAAACAAAAAUCUUUAACAAUUCAAGACCACUUGUGUAAGCAUCUCUAAAUUGUAAUCUCUUACUAAGCAAAAUAAUUGCAUGUAUCCCUACUGUAUCCCAAUCACUAGAAACAAAGGUGUACUUGACAAACAGAUCAAACAACUCUUAUAUCAGAUUGUGUAAAUAGUCAUUAUGUAAGAAAACAAGAACUGUUAAUGUUAUAACAAACCAUCAAGCUUGAUCCUAUAGAAAAAAUACAUUGAGUGCGUUCAAAAAGCUCACUCCAGUUUCAGAAGUGUGUUACAGGGUUCAGAGACUGUUUCCUAUACUUAAAAUGGAGAAUACCAUUGUAUCCAGUAAUAACUACAGCGGGAAUCAGCUUUUUAAAUGUUCCUGCUCUAGUUGCCAUAUUUGUUCAGGAGUAUUAAAAUUUGGUGAGUGGCCACUGAGAAUUUUGCUACAUAAGUGUGUGUGUGUGUGUGUGUGUGUGUUUUUGUUUGUGAAUUGGGGCCAGAUCCUCAGUUGAUGUAAAGCAAUUUCAAAGCAGCUAGAGUGAUUUCCAUCAGCUGGUGACCUGGCUGUGUUUAUGAUUGGUGUUAAUUUUGGCCUGUGAUUUCCAUAGAUUAAUGUUAAGAAUUUCCCCCAAAUGUGUGAUAUGCUUCCCUUGAAUUUGUCUUAGCAAUCUGAACUAUAGGUAUGACUAUUUUAACCAUCUCUGUUCACAGCCCAGUUUUCCAGACUCAUAUCCAGCCUUGAUUCCUUUGGCUAUAUAUAGUAAAUAUUGCCUGUUUUUUUCCUUUGAUGUAGUCUUGUCUUGUCAGCCUUCUAGGCACCUGCUUUUGACCUCAGCUAGUGCUGGCUCUAACUAGCCCUUUUCUGGCUAUGUCUACACUGCAUAGUAAACCUGGGUCUGUGGCACCCAUGCCUGUAGCCUGUUUUUUCAAGCCUACACUUGCACAUCCACACUGCAUUUCAAAGCCAGGCCUUGCAACUAUGCUGACAUGUCCAUGCUGCACUACACAGACCUGAGUCAGACCUCCUGCGUGGGGGUGUUUCCCUGGGUUCCUAAUGCUGUUGCCCUCUGUAGUCACUCUAGGGCUUGGUUCAUAGGAUACUGGGGGGGACUUAACUAGCUCCAGGACUUAAUGAGAAUUGGUUAGAGCCCAGCCAUAUUUUGGGGUCCAAACACUCCCAGCAGCUGAAGUUGUCAACAUGGAUCCCAGUCUGCAAGCAGAACUUCUCCAGCUCAUACUUUUGACUUCUGUUUUAGGAAUCAAGUAGAGCAUCUGUGUCAUGCUGGUGGACAUUUCAGCAUCAGGCUAGAACUUGCAAAAGGCACCUUUUGGAGGAGGGGUGAUAUGCACAUGUGAGUUGCAACUGGACUGGAGUCAAGGGUUGCACAAGGCACAUUUGACCAUUCCAUGUGCUAGUGUUUAUUGCCUAUGACAUGGUCCAGGCACCCCCUGAAUUGUCCAAACUGCACAGUCUGUAGGAUGUGGUCAUGUGGAGGGAACUCAGCUGUGAGGCCGGAGCAGGAAUUGAAGACAGCAGUGGAGCUGGCACUGGAGCCUGCAGGCUGGUGGCCGUGAGUGCAAGCAACCACUCAAACAGCUACUUCUGCUGCACUCUGUCUUCCUCCCUGUACCCGUAGUCAUGCUCCAAAAACUGUGCUGCCCGUUUAUCCUCACGCUGUGCAGCCUCUCUCACUCUCAUUACCUUUCUUGAAUCUUUAUCUUUCUGGUGCACAAUCUGCUGAUUGACUUUAUCAAGAAUCUCAUCUCAGACUCUCUUUUCCUUGACUGUUGUUGGAGGUCCUCCAGGCAGAACUGGAAGGGCUUUGAAAGGAAAAUGAAAGAGCAGAUUGUCUGACCAUGAUACAAAAUUACAUUUUCUACUCUUUCAAAGGGGCUGCUUCCAUUCAAGGUCCAAAGAUGACACUUUCUAUCAGUGGGCUUUAUUUUAUUCACACAAAAAACACUGGCCAGCACAGACGUCCUUUGGAGUGGCACUGAAAGCUCUUGUUGCCCUGUGACAGAUUUCUGUUACCAAUCUCCCUGAGGUGUCAGAUGAUCAGGCUGAGGCCACAUGAUCUUUUGGGGAAGAGAUGACGAAACACACCAAGGGUCUAAGUUUUAAAGCCUUAUUAAUAAAAUAACAGUGGAGAGUGAUGGGCGCUCCCCACAUCAGUCAGAGGAAGGAAGAAAGCAUUAGUGCCUCAAGCCCUAACCCGCUUUCAUACUUCCAUAUGUUCUGCCUGAGGCUGGCCAAGCCUGGGGUAAUGUAAGAAGAAGAGGGGGAAGGGUGGACAGGAGUUCUGUCCUGGGCCCAGAUCAUCUGAGGUCUGCAGUAAUCUCCAACUUGCUUUGACUCUUGGGAGGGUUUUUGUUCAGGGCCCUUUGUUCCUGGUGCUCUUUGUACCAGUCCAAACUGGCUUUCUAUGGCCUUCUCAGCUUUCCCCAAAACACACCAGCUCCAGGGAUGCAUAGCUCUGCUUCCCUCUCCCACCCCCAUCAUCUUGCCUGUGUUUUUCAUCUCUGCAACCCUGUUUCUGUGUACUUUUUCUUUUUUCAUGGCUGUUGGUGGCUGAGUGAGAGAGAAACACUGCUGCCGAUUUCCAUGACCUUGGACUAGGGCCAGCAUAGCGUCUUAUUAUCAGACUGAGCUAGCUAGCUGCAAGGUUGAGUUAACCUGUUCUCUGCUCUCUUCCUUCUUCCCCCUCUGGCUUCUCGCGGCCUGCAAAGGAAUCUCCCAUUCGACACUCACUCACACCUUUGACCCUUCCCAAAAUGCCCUGUGAUGCUUGCAACAGCGUUAGCAAUAUAUAAUGCUGAUCUGCCUUCCCAGGGGACCCCCCUGAGGGAGGGAGUCCUUGGGCCUGUGACAGUCCUCCCCCUUGACCCCGAAUCAAUAUUUUGUUAUGAGGAGGUCACCAUUUCGGUUUUCACCCUGUCAUAAACAGAUGGUUAAGGGUUAAUGUCUCUUUUAUCUGUAAAGGGUUAAGAAGCUCAGUGAACCUGGCUGACACCUGACCAGAGGACCAAUCGGGGGACAAGAUAUUUUCAAACCUUGGUAGAGGAAAGUCUUUGUUUGUGCUGUUUGUUUUGUUCGUUGUUCGCUCUUGGGGCUAAGAGGAACCAGACGUAUACCCAGGUUUUCUCCAAUCUUUCUGAAUCAGUCUCUCAUGUUUCAAAAUAGUAAGUAUAGCCAGGAAAGGCGGAUUAGUCUUAUGUUUGUUUUCUUAACUUGUAAAUGUGUAUUUUGCAGGAAGGAUUUUUACCUCUGUUUGCUGUAACUUUGAAUCUCAGGCUGAUGGGAGGGUGGGAAAGUCCCUCUAGUCUAUAUGAAUCUGAAUACCCUGUAAGCAUUUACCAUCCUGAUUUUACAGAGAUAAUUUUUACCUUUUCUUUCUUUAAUUAAAAGCUUUCUUUUUUAAGAACCUGAUUGAUUUUUUCCUUGUUUUAAGACCCAAGGGGAUUGGGUCUGAACUCACCAGGGAUUGGUGGGGGAAAAGGACAGGGGGAAAGGUUAAUUCCUCUUUGUUUUAAGAUCCGAGGAGUUUGGAUCAGUGUAGCCUCUCAGGGUAACCCAGGGAGGGGAAAGGAGGGGGGAUGGUUUAUUUCUCCUUGUUUUAAGACCCAAGGGGUUUGGGUCUUGGGUUCCCCAGGGAAGGUUUUUGGGGGGACAGAAAGUGUGCCAAACACUAUAUUUUGGCUGGUGGCAGCGUUAUCAGAUCUAAGCUAGGAAUUAAGCAUAGAAGGGUCCAUGCAGGUCCCCACUUUUUGGACGCUAAAGUUCAAAGUGGGGGAAAAACCUUGACACACCCUCCCUCUGACACGGUGGCUAGGGUUACUACUAUUGGCCUUUUACAUACACAGAAAUAUAGCAUGCCUAUGAUACAGAGUUGUUGGGUUACAUAGUGUUGGAGCUGGGAGCACACCAAAUCCAGUGUCGGUUGUCGGCCUCAGUUAUAGUUUUAAUCAGUCCCUGCAAGGUAUUUUGCAUGUGAAGAGCCAAUUUGGCAGUCUGUUUGAGGGCAGCGGUGGCCACUGUCAGGUGGGUGAGGUCUGCACUUAUGACUAGUCCCAUGGCCAUUUUCAAUCAUUUCAACCGCUUGUUUUUCAUGGCCCCCUGCACAAGGAGCCCACUAUGAUCUGCCUUUUCCGGGAGGGGGGAGAGGGGGACAAGGACACUGUAUGCCUGAGGAGAGCGAGUUGGAGGGUGCCUCCCUCCCCUGGUAGAAUUGAGACGUUGAUUCUGGUUCCUGGAAAUUGAGCUGGAAAUGUUGGGAUGGGAGGGCUGGGAAACACAGGAGUUGUAGCAGGUGAUGGGCAGACUUUCCAGACCCGCAUCUGGCAACCUGGACUUCAAGAGCAUCCACAAUGCAAAAUGUCUGGGCUUGGACCUGCAUGAUAGCAGGGACUUGGGUUCAGCCUUGUACCAUGCUGGAGCCAUGAUCCUGAGCUUUCUGGCCCAAAUCAGACUGAUUUGUGUGUGGACAGUAGUGGGGCUUGGGCUUAAACCUUAGUCUGACCCUGUGUUGACUAUGCAGUAUAGACAUACCCUCUCUGGCUCCUUCUGUGCUUCCUGCCCCCAAGCCCGUUCUCCUGCCUCUACUACAGGUGCAGGGCAGCACCCCUUCACUGGACUGUGGUAGAUCUGCAAGCUGCCAAAGAUACUUACACAUGAAAGUUCAGAGCUUUAUUCUCCCUGCUUGCCAACUUCUCCAAAUUAACCCUGGGCUUCAGUUCUUUCUGUGAUGCACCAAGGUCUGUCUCCAGAGUCUUGCUACUUCUGGACUGCAGCUAAACACUUAAUACUUAAAUAACUUUAAUUGCUUAAUAACUGACAUUUUAAUAGGGUGAUUAAAAUGUUAAUCAUUAAGUGGCUGGUGAAGAGCCAAUUUAUUCUGAUAAACAUCACUUUUGUCUCAAAACCAAAGUUCUAACAACCUAUACCAGUUCUGAAGGACCAGUACUGUGCCCUGAGAUCUCUCUGACAGUUUAGGAAGGCAGCAGUAAAAAAAUACAUUUGAAUAAACAUGGUAACUUCUUUUUAUAAGUUUACUUGGCUGUCUCAUAUUCUUUUGUCUUUUCUGUGGCUGGAGUUGGACUGGGGUAACAAAGUGCAGUAUCAUACAAGGAGGAGGAAAAUGCAUAAAAAUUGCUUAUCACUAAUGAUAGAUAUUGGAUGGAGCUGUUUAUUUUCUUGUUCUUUAUUCUGUUUGUGGGGGUAUUGUAUGUAAAGCACUUUUUUUUGUGGUAGAAAUAAUUUCACAGAGACAGGACUACAUGCAAAAUGUCAAACUCAUCACCAAACAACAUUUAGGCUGCUGGGUAGGCUAGUUGUAUAACACAAGGAGGUUUAUAAUAUUUGUUUUCUUCAGUAGCAGGCUAAAGGAUUUCAGGGUAACCUAGACACUUGGGAAAACUAAGCAUCAGUUACCAGCUCUAAUUAUUCUAUGUCCAAAGAUCAAAUUCCAUGGUGUGUAUAGCGUGGUUUGUGUGAUGAUGCUUUGCUUUGCCUGAAUAAAGCAAUUCUUGUGAUCUAUUAACUGCUAUAUUGUUCAAGGAAAUCAUGUCAUUCAGCUUCUGUUUCAUGUUGAUGAAUAAACUAUUUGCUAAGUGUCAAACA